ACGCGAACAUCCUUUUUGUUUGACAGUAGAAUGGAAAAUGUUUUCUCUUACGAAAGCCCUAUAAGAGCUCAAAAGACUACAGUGCUGGGUCACUUUUCCAUCGACAGGACCUGCACAGCGUGCUGCUCCCUGACCGGAGGCCCGUCCGAUGCUGCCCAGCCCCGGGUCCCCACCUUCUGGAGGGACAACUGCUACCUGGAGCUUCACAGUAUUGCUUUUGGUCUCUGCAUGCUGUGUAUCAGUGAACAUGAAGUGCCAGACAUCUCCACCCACCAGCAGCAUCAAAGCCUCUCUUCAUCUGCUACAUCAAAUAACUGGACUGUUUGGUGAAAUAUGUCUGUGUCUUGGGGUACAUUGGACUAGGGGUGGAACCAGAUUGCAGGACAUCUCUUAUGUUCCUAGCUCCAAGGUGAUUUCUAUCCUACACUUAUUCUCACAAUCAGUAUGUGUUUUAUUGCCCUUGUGUUACUAAUUUUAGUAAUUGUUUUUUGUAAAAUAAUCUUUCUAAUAGCCAAAAAAUUUUACCGGUAUAAUCUGCAACUCAUGGUAUCUGUAGAAAAAGUCAGCUGUGCGUGGAUCAAGGGGUGGAAGUUAGUCAUCCUGACCGGAAGAUCAUUGUACAUCGAGGAGUUAGUGAUCCACAAAACAGCUGACUUGGGCUGGCCCAAGCCUGUGCUGUGCUGUACAGUGCUGCACAUACUGCCUGGCCUUCAAGCCGUGCUGUGCCACACACAUCCCUCGGCUACGGGAUGAACUUAGCCAGCUAACUGUAAUGAGGAGUCUGUUGUCACCUUCCACUGAGUGCUGCUGAUUACACCACCUGUGUGGCCUUGCCUUUAUCUAACAGUGUGCCCGCGAGUUCUCACAUUAACAUCCUUUUUGUUUGACAGUAGAAAUUAUGAAUAUACAUGUUUUCUUGUAAGAAAACCCUGUAGGAACUCAAAAAACCACAGUGCUGGGUCACUUUUUCACCAAUGAGAUCUGUACAGUGUGCCUCUUUGGAGAUCCACCCAGUGAUGCACAACUUGGGGCUCCCAGCAUCUGGAGGGAUGUGAGAUUAUCUAUACUAUUGUCUUUUUUGUUAUAGUGUUAGCUCCAAUAAACUUCAUUUUAAGUGAUA